rnacentral:rRNA from 1 species
AGCGAACGCUGGCGGCAUGCUUAACACAUGCAAGUCGCACGAAGGUUUCGGCCUUAGUGGCGGACGGGUGAGUAACGCGUAGGAAUCUAUCCAUGGGUGGGGGAUAACACUGGGAAACUGGUGCUAAUACCGCAUGAUACCUGAGGGUCAAAGGCGCAAGUCGACUGUGGAGGAGCCUGCGUUCGAUUAGCUAGUUGGUGGGGUAAAGGCCUACCAAGGCGAUGAUCGAUAGCUGGUUUGAGAGGAUGAUCAGCCACACUGGGACUGAGACGCGGCCCAGACUCCUACGGGAGGCAGCAGUGGGGAAUAUUGGACAAUGGGGGCAACCCUGAUCCAGCAAUGCCGCGUGUGUGAAGAAGGUCUUCGGAUUGUAAAGCACUUUCGACGGGGACGAUGAUGACGGUACCCGUAGAAGAAGCCCCGGCUAACUUCGUGCCAGCCGCCGCGGUAAAAC